GCCCUUCGAAUAAAUAAUCCUGUCUUAGUCAUCAGUGGGUUAAUGGAAAUUCAAAGCAUGAAUAACUUGGUAGUAGGUAUGACUUAACUCUGUUAAAAAAUGGACUAUUGAAUAAAUGUCACCAGACCAAGGAAGGUCAUUAUUUAAUAAUAAGUGUGUACAGAUAAUUAUUUUUCUCAAUAUGACACAUUUCGUAUUUUUCUAAGUGUAAUUUCUCAUACAUAACAAAAAAAUGUAAUGGUGAUAUUUCAUAAGUUUUGACAUUCAGUAGCUUGCCUUUACUUUGCUUGGACAAUGUGGACUCAUGCCCUAACUCAGAAACUAGUAAUGGUGUAACAAUUAUCUCUAAUAGUUAGAAUGUCAUAUCCCGUUGAAAGUGUGAAGUAAGGUGAAAGCAUUAAGAAAUACUCAUUGAUAGUUACAGAACAGUCCCAAGGAUGUAAAUUACCACACAGGGGCUAUAGUAAAUAAUAUUGUAUCACUAUGUAUGGGGCUAGGUGAGUACUUGAAAUUAGUGGAGGACCACUCUCUAAAGUACAUGAUCAUCUAGCCACUGUGCUUACAUCAGAAACUAAUACAGAAUAAUAUGGAGUGUAAACUGUAAUUGAAAAAUUUAAAACAUGAUUAAAGGAAAUGUGUCAAAUCUCGGUACAUAAUAACUUCUCAAUAAAUUCAAUCUAUGACAAUU